rnacentral:tRNA from 1 species
GGGCCUGUAGUAUAAUGGUAACACGCGACUAUGGCAUAGUCGAGUCGGGGGUCCGAUUCCCCCCAGGUCCACCA